AAAUAAAUACAACUUUCAGCAACGGAUCUCUUGGCUCUCGCAUCGAUGAAGAACGCAGCGAAUUGCGAUAAGUAAUGUGAAUUGCAGAUUUUCAGUGAAUCAUCGAAUCUUUGAACGCACCUUGCGCUCCUUGGUAUUCCGAGGAGCAUGCCUGUUUGAGAGUCAUGUAAUUCUCAACCAUGUCUUGAUUGAUUUCGAGGCAUGGCUUGGACUUGGGGGCUGCUGGCGGCGAAAGCUGUCGGCUCUCCUGAAAUGCAUUAGC
rnacentral:rRNA from 1 species